rnacentral:ribozyme from 1 species
UAAGUAGAUACAAAAUCGGGUGAAUUGCAAGGACAUCUUAUUUUUAUAUAAGACAAUUUGCAGCUAAGCUUAUAUCAGUGUAUAUCUAAAUUUAUAGAUAGUGAUGUAAGAAAGUUCAACGACUAAUCGGUGAGUUGCACUAACAAUAAUCCGGACACGAGCGCCCGAC